GGGAGCGCUGAGAUUGGGGUGCAGGGCCUGGAUCACCCCCGGUGCUGCUCCCAGUGCUGCUCCUGCUGGGCUGGGAGUGCUGAGAUCGGGGGUGCAGGGCCCCCAUCACCCCCAGUGCCACUCCCGUGGGGCUGGGAGUGCUGAGAUCGGGGGUGCAGGGCCUGGAUCACCCCCAGUGCUGCUCCUGCCGCUCCUGCUGGGCUGGGGAGCGCUGAGCUCUGGGGUGCAGGGCCUGGAUCACUCCUGGUGCCAUUCCCAGUGCUCCUGUUGGGCUGGGCAGCGCUGAGCUCUGGGGUGCAGGGCCUGGAUCACUCCCAGUGCUCCUGUUGGGCUGGGGAGCGCUGAGCUCUGGGGUGCAGGGCCCCCAUCGCUCCAGCCGGGAUUUGGGGUCUCUGGGAUCGCCGGGAUCGCGGGGAUUCGGGGUCAGCACCAACCCCGAGCCCUGGGCAGGCGCGGAUGGAGCG
rnacentral:lncRNA from 1 species